UAUAAUCGUCGAUAGGUCUCUCUUUCGCCGACAAUAUCAAUCAUCAUUAUUUUUCUUUUAGGUUCGAAGCCCAUAUUUUCAGCUUUAUCCCUAAUAUUUUUAAUCAGCUCAUUUUUUAAUCCUCAUAAGUCAUCAAAUUGUCUUUUACAAAAUGCAAUGUCACUUGACUUCGUCUGUAAAAUGUCGUAGGUACUAUAAAAUAUCAGUAAAAGGAAAAAUC
rnacentral:lncRNA from 1 species